AGCUAGAGCUUUGUAAAUGAAGUCUUUGAAGCUAGAGCUCUUGUGAAUGAAGCUUUUGAAGCUAGAGCUCUGUAAAUGAAGCUUUUGAAGCUAGAGCUCUUGUGAAUGAAGCUUUUGAAGCUAGAGCUCUGUAAAUGAAGCUUUUGAAGCUAUAGCUCUUGUAAAUGAAGUCUUUGAAGCUGAUUUGACAUGAGUGAUGCUCAUGCAUGUUUAUGUUGAUUGACAUGAGUGAUGCUCAUGGAUGUUGACAUGAGUGAUGCUUAUGGAUGUUUAUGUUGAUUGACAUGAGUGAUGCUCAUGGAUGUUGACAUGAGUGAUGCUCAUGAAUGUUUAUGUAUGAUUGACAUGAGUGAUGUUCAUGAAUGUUUAUGUAUGAAUGACAUGAGUAGU
rnacentral:lncRNA from 1 species